rnacentral:rRNA from 1 species
GACGAACGCUGGCGGCGUGCUUAACACAUGCAAGUCGAACGGUAAGGCCCUUCGGGGUACACGAGUGGCGAACGGGUGAGUAACACGUGGGUGAUCUGCCCUGCACUUCGGGAUAAGCCUGGGAAACUGGGUCUAAUACCGGAUAGGACUCCUGGCUUCAUGGUUGGGGGUGGAAAGCUUUUGCGGUGUGGGAUGGGCCCGCGGCCUAUCAGCUUGUUGGUGGGGUAAUGGCCUACCAAGGCGACGACGGGUAGCCGGCCUGAGAGGGUGACCGGUCACACUGGGACUGAGGUACGGGCCAGACUCAUACGGGAGGCAGCAGUGGGGAAUAUUGCACAAUGGGCGCAAGCCUGAUGCAGCGACGCCGCGUGAGGGAUGACGGCCUUCGGGUUGUAAACCUCUUUCAGCUAUGACGAAGCGCAAGUGACGGUAGUAGCAGAAGAAGGACCGGCCAACUACGUGCCAGCAGCCGCGGUAA